rnacentral:tRNA from 1 species
CAUUACGAAGCUUAGAGCGUUAACCUUUUAAGUUAAAGUUAGAGAUGUAAAUUCUCCGUAAUGA